rnacentral:rRNA from 1 species
UUUACCUGUGUGACUGCGUACCUUUUGUAUAAUGGGUCAGCGACUUAUAUUCUGUAGCAAGGUUAACCGUAUAGGGGAGCCGGAGGGAAACCGAGUCUUAACCGGGCGUUAAGUUGCAGGGUAUAGACCCGAAACCCGGUGAUCUAGCCAUGGGCAGGUUGAAGGUUGGGUAACACUAACUGGAGGACCGAACCGACUAAUGUUGAAAAAUUAGCGGAUGACCUGUGGCUGGGGGUGAAAGGCCAAUCAAACCGGGAGAUAGCUGGUUCUCCCCGAAAGCUAUUUAGGUAGCGCCUCGUGAAUUCAUCUCCGGGGGUAGAGCACUGUUUCGGCUAGGGGGCCAUCCCGGCUUACCAACCCGAUGCAAACUGCGAAUACCGGAGAAUGUUAUCACGGGAGACACACGGCGGGUGCUAACGUCCGUCGUGAAGAGGGAAACAACCCAGACCGCCAGCUAAGGUCCCAAAGUCAUGGUUAAGUGGGAAACGAUGUGGGAAGGCCCAGACAGCCAGGAUGUUGGCUUAGAAGCAGCCAUCAUUUAAAGAAAGCGUAAUAGCUCACUGGUCGAGUCGGCCUGCGCGGAAGAUGUAACGGGGCUAAACCAUGCACCGAAGCUGCGGCAGCGACACUCAGGUGUUGUUGGGUAGGGGAGCGUUCUGUAAGCCUGUGAAGGUGUGUCGUGAGGCAUGCUGGAGGUAUCAGAAGUGCGAAUGCUGACAU